rnacentral:rRNA from 1 species
GAUGAACGCUGACAGAAUGCUUAACACAUGCAAGUCUACUUGAAGCUAACUUCGGUUAGUGGAUGGUGGCGGACGGGUGAGUAACGCGUAAAGAACUUGCCUCACAGUUUGGGACAACAUUUGGAAACGAAUGCUAAUACCGGAUAUUAUGAUACUUCUGCAUGGAAGAAUCAUGAAAGCUAUAUGCGCUGUGAGAGAGCUUUGCGUCCCAUUAGCUAGUUGGAGAGGUAACGGCUCACCAAGGCGAUGAUGGGUAGCCGGCCUGAGAGGGUGAACGGCCACAAGGGGACUGAGACACGGCCCUUACUCCUACGGGAGGCAGCAGUGGGGAAUAUUGGACAAUGGACCAAAAGUCUGAUCCAGCAAUUCUGUGUGCACGAUGAAGUUUUUCGGAAUGUAAAGUGCUUUCAGUUGGGAAGAAGCAAGUGACGGUACCAACAGAAGAAGCGACGGCUAAAUACGUGCCAGCAGCCGCGGUAAUACGUAUGUCGCAAGCGUUAUCCGGAUUUAUUGGGCGUAAAGCGCGUCUAGGUGGUUAUAUAAGUCUGAUGUGAAAAUGCGGGGCUCAACUCCGUAUUGCGUUGGAAACUGUAUGACUAGAGUACUGGAGAGGUAAGCGGAACUACAAGUGUAGAGGUGAAAUUCGUAGAUAUUUGUAGGAAUGCCGAUGGGGAAGCCAGCUUACUGGACAGAUACUGACGCUAAAGCGCGAAAGCGUGGGUAGCAAACAGG